AGAGAUGGAAUUUUGUUUCGGGACACAACGGGUAUUAAAGGAAAAGAUUGGGAAAAAUUGCAGGAAGGAGAGGUUGAAGACGAGCGCGUGAAGGACACGCGAGGCGCGUGGGAGGACACGAGUGGAAGUGCGACUGUGCGCGGAUCAGGCGCGUGAUAAACGAACCCUUAUCUUGUGUUGGCGUGUGAGGCGCGUGAGCAGGUCUAAUAGGAAGGAAUUGUGUUAGAAUACCUAUUAAACGUACAUUCAAGGGGGAAAAGGAGUUCGAAACCAAAUUUAGAUGAUGCAGACCAACCGAGGACGAGACCAGCAGGCUAGGGACUAUUGGGAAUCUAUGUUUGGGUCUGUUUAUGUAAUUAUGCAUUCGUUGUCCAUAGUUUAUUUUGGUCGUAUUAAGUUUUAAAAAGUACUGGUCC